GGAGGAAUGGCCGAGUGGUUGAAGGCACUUGUCUUGAAAACAAGCAGAGUGAAAGCUCUCGUGGGUUCGAAUCCUACUUCCUCCG
rnacentral:tRNA from 1 species